ensembl:lncRNA
CUUCAUUUUGGAAAAAUCUGUUGUGGCCUUGGAAAACAUUUGUCUACGUGAUGUGCACAGGAUCUCAGGAGUUCAUCAUAGAAUAAUGGAAUGGCCUGAGCUGAAAAGGACCACAAUGAUCAUCCAGGUUCAAACCCCGUGCUAUGUACAGGGUUGCCAACCACCAGACCAGACCGUCCAGAGCCACAUCCAGCCUGGCCUUGAAUGCCUCCAGGGAUGGGGCAUCCACAACCUCCUUGGGCAACCUGUUCUGGUGUGUCACCACCCUCUGUCUAAAAAACUUCCUGCUAAUAUCUCACCUAAACCUCCCCUGUCUCAGUUUAAAACCAUUCCCCC